rnacentral:misc_RNA from 1 species
ACACCUCAACUCUCAUGGCUUGCCAUGAUGAGCUUGGACUUUGGGGGUCUUGCUGGCCUGCAGGCCGGCUCCUCUCAAAUGAAUCAGCUUGCCAGUGUUUGGUGGCAUCACAGGUGUGAUAACUAUCUACGCUUGUGGUUUUCCACCAGGUAACCUUCAGCAGUGGAGGUUCGCUGGGGCUCAUAAACGUCUCUCCUUAGUGGGGACAGGUUUUGACC